AAAACGAGUGUGCGAGAAGUAUGUUGUAAUUGAAGUAGCAUACUGCCUGACACCCAAGAGGUUGCUCUGUAAGUGGGAGAAGGGAGAUGAAAUAAUACCAGCAUCCUGAACCUGAAUGUCCAGCUUCGCCUUGUUCUUUGUGGAUUAUAAGACCAUUGAUUAAAUAAAUCCUUUCAUCAAAAUUAUCUUAAAAAAGAAACUACCAUCUAAAUCCAGUUAUUCCAUCUGACUUGGUAGCAGUGAUGUUUGGAGUUUAGGACCUAAAGGUGAAAUGGGGAAAAUCUGGGUGCUCGGAAAGACACCAGAAGCACACAGAAGAAGAUCAUAUGAAGACACAACAAGAAGGUGACUAGCUGCAAGCCAAGAAGAGAAGCCUCAGAAGAAAUCAAACGUACUAGCACCUUGAUCUUGGAAUUCCAGUCUCCAAAGCUGCGAGAAAAUAAAAUUCUGUUGCUUAAGCUGCCAAGACUAUGGUAUUUUCUUAUGGCAAUCUUAGCAAAAUAACCCUAUUAGCAAACAAAUGCAUACAAAAUCUCUGUAAAUACAGCAGGUUUCCUUUUUAAAAAAACUCUUUAUUUUGAAAAAUUAUAGUUCUACAACAAAUAAUAAAAAAGAUAUACAGGAUGGUCCUAUUUACUCUUGACUCAGUUUCCCUUAUAGUAACAUCUUAUAUAACUACUAGGAAAAUGAUGUUGAUACAUUCCACAUAUCUUGUUAAAAUUUAACCAGUUUUACAUGUAUUAGUUUGUUCUAUGCAAUUUUCUUGCAUGUGUAGACCCAUGUUACCACUACCAUAGAGAAAAUCCAGAAUCAUUCCAUCACCAGAGGCUCCUUCAUGCUGUCUCUUUAUACUCAUUCUUACCUCUUUCUCUAGCUCAUCCCUAACCCCUCACAACCAUUAAUCUGUUCUCCAUCUCUACAACCCUGUUAUUUCAAGAAUGCCAUAUAAUGAGAAUCAAAAUUAAGUGAACUUUUGGGACUAUUUUCACUCAGAAUAAUUCUCUUGAAAUUCAGCCAAGUUAUUGUGUGCAACAAUAACUCAUUCCUUCUUAUUGCGGAGUAGUAGUCCAUGAUAUGGAUGCACUACAGGUUCCUUAACCACUUACUAGGAUAUUACAGUUGUUUACAGUUUGAAGCUAUUAUGACUAAAGCUGACGCUCACAUUUAUAUAUAAGUUUUUAUACAGAAAUAUGUCUCCAUUUCUCUGGAAAAAAAAUCCCAAGGGUACAAUUGCCGAGUCAAAUGUUAAGUGAAUGUUUACUUUAAAAGUGUUAUAUUGUUUUUUAGAGUGGGUGUACCAUUUUACAUUACCAUCAGCAAUGUAUAAGAGGUCCUGUUUCUCAGUAUCAGGCAAUAGAUAAUGUAUGUGCCAUGUAUACGUUUCCAGAACAUGAAAGUAUAGGAAUCUUCUUUUAUUUUAUUAUGUUAGCAUACCCUUCACACUCAAACCUAGCUGUGUGCUGAAAAGGUGAUUCUCUGGAAUUUAAGGAACUUAAAACCCCUGAUUUAUAGCAACUGCAUAUUUUCCAGUUGUGGCUAUUUCCCACCGUGGUUUUCAAACUACCCACAUGACUUAAUUGAAAGUGAAUUAAGGAAAAAAAUACUCACAAGUAGUUCUCACACAGUUCUCACUGGCACAAGCCAGUUCCAGCACACUGCUGCACAUACACAAACAUAUGCACACAUGCAUACACACAUAUAUACACACAUGCAUAUUCACAGACACAUAAAAACACAGAUGCAUAGAGACACCAGAUUUAUCUCCUUCAUUCGUACAGAUGGACCAUUAAAUAAGAUGACAAGAUGAAUUUAAUAGCAUGACAUAAUCAAAUAUAGAGACAGAUAUAAAAUACAUAGAGUAUGAAACUAUGAAACAAUUUUGGAAAUAAAAGUGUAUAUUAAUGUGCAAAUAUAUGUAUAGAAUAUGAGACUGAAAACACCAAAAUGUUGAUACUGUUUAUUUCUGGGUAGUUGGAUGACAAGUGAAUUUAGUUUUUCUGAUUGUGCUUUUCUUUAUCUUUAAGGAACAUGUUUUCUUUUAAUCAGAAAGAAAUAAUUACAUAUAUAUGUAAUUAACAUAUAUUGUAUAAUAUAUAUCACAUAUAUUCCACAUAUAUGGAAUAUAUAUUGUGUUUUAAAGUUUAAAAUGUGAGGAGACCACGUCAAUGAGGAACUUGGAACCAAGUAAAACAUGGAUGGAUAUGUGACAAUAUUGUGGAAUAGAGUGAAAAUUCAGCUCAGAAAUAGUGAAGCUUAUUUUAAAUGGAAACUAAAAUAAGAUCAUGUGGAUUAAAUUAGAGAUAUUUCCAGGAGAAGAUAUGUUUGAGCAUAACUUUCCUCUCCUCCCUAUCUGAGGAAAAUUCUGGAAGAGACUUCAUACGUAUCUAUAUUUGUAUCUAUGUCAGAAAAGGAGAGAAGUAAGGCCUGGGAGGCAGCUUGCUGUUGUGAAAGGAAAAUGAAGUCAGAUGAUCCUUAAUUUGGAUACUCUUUCUUACCAUUUGGGGCAAGUUACUUCCUCAAAGCCUCAAUUUCUUCUUCUCUAGCAUGAGAUUAAUAUUUGUGAUUCAUCAGAAGGUUAAACAAAGCAAUUUUUACAAAGUAAAAAGCAAAUUUUACAAAGAAGGCUUUCAUUUUGUUCUGUCCUAUUUUAUUCUAAAUUAUGGUAUGUUACCCAAAUCCCAGUGGGAGCUUUUGUGAGUGAAUGACAUUAAAAAAUUACUGGAACAGGAAAUAUUUCCCUUUAAUGAACUAGAUGAGAUUUUUUAAAAAAAAACCACUAAUUAUGUAUUUUACAUUAUGGAAACAGAGAUUAUAUAAUGAUAAAAAGAUGUGUAUUAUAUUUUAAAAAAUAGUUACAAAAAGUAAAUCUUUUGUUUUCAUGUGAUCCAUUCAUUUGUCCAUUAUUCAACAGAUAUUUAUACAAUACUAAUUCAGUGAAAACCAGCAUUAGCUUAGGAGAAAGUAUUAGGAAGUACAAGAUUAAUGACAUCUGGGACCAAGAAAUUUUCAGUAAAAUCAAUGAAUGGCAUUUUGCUUAUUUCGGAACAGCAAAAUAGAAAUAGUCAAUACUAUAGUCUCUGCAUCUAGUCCUUCUGUGUGAAUAUGUAUCUAGAGGCUUAUGCAAAAUAAUGCCUAAGGUUAGGACAAGCACUUUUAUUCAGCUGAUAAUAAAAUAUAUAAAGUGUACAAUGAAUAUCCAAAUGUAUAAUAAUCUAAUCCAGAAUUACUCAAUCUAUGAAUUAUUAAGAUAUGGUAAGGACAAGAUUAAAACUAUGUUUUUCUGCCUGGCUGUCUUUAAACUAUUGUUACAUGGCAACCCUUUAACAACCCAGUAGUUAGCCAUGAUCAUUGUAUUAGGCUGCUUGGGUUGCUGUAACAAAAUGUUAAUACCAUAGACUGGGUGGCUUAAAUAACAGACCUUUAUUUCUCACAGUUCUGGAGGUUGGGAAGUCCAAGAUCAAGGUGCUGGCCAAUUCUGUUCCUGCCUCUCUUUUCUGGCUUAUAUAUUUCUGCCUUUUUGCCGUGUCCUUGCAAGGCAGAGAAAUAUCUUCUCCUACUCCAAUUCUUCCUUCUACUCCUUCUUUUUCUUCAUAAGCCACUAAUCCUAUCAUGACAGCCCUAUUCUCAUUACCUCAUUCAACCUUAAUUAUCUCCCAAAGGGCCCACAUCCAAAUACCGUCAUAUUGAGGGUUAAGGCUUCAACAUCUGAGUUUUGGGGGAGACACAAUUUGGUCCAGAGCAACCAUCAUUUUGCUAAUGCCAUCUGGCUUGUGAAAUAUUAAUAGCAAGUCUAAGACUUUUCUCAAUAUUCAAAGAGGAAGGCUCAAAGAGAUUUUGAUAGUUUUUGGUUGUUUGUGAAUAUAUACAAGCUGAAUAGAAGUUUCAGUGUAAGGAUGGUAUCACACCCUUUCUCACCACCUACUCCCAAAUUUUGAAAGCCAUUACUUGAGAAAUAGACAUCCUCUUGGUGUUGUCAAUGUUCCUGAAUACACAAUAAUUGUUAAUACAUUUUGCAAAGAGAAUAUGCACCGUUGAAAGGGAAUAUUACUUAUUCAUUCAUUCAAAAAAUUAUUGAGCGCUGCUAUUUUCCAAGCACUUUUCUGAAUGCUAAGAAUAUAGGAAUAAUCAAAAGAGAAAAAGUCUCUUCUCUCAAAGAGCAUAUUGCCUUGUGUUGGAGGCAAACCAUAAUUAAACAGACAAGUGAAUAUCUAGUUUGUCAGAUAAUGAUUAGUCCUAUGGAGAAGUAUAAAGCAGGAUACAGGAAAUGGGGAGGGCUGGUAGGUGGGGAGAAGAGUGGUUAUUUUAUGUAGGUAAACAGGGAACCUGAAGUAAAUAAGGGAGUGAGCCAUGCUGAUGUCAGGAGAAAAGUUUCAGAAGGUGAGGAGAACAAAUGCAGAGGCCACAAGGUGAGAGAAUGCUUAGGUGUAUGAAAGACAGCAAGGAGCCCAGUGUAUAUAGACCAACUGAACCAGAGGAAGAAUCAUAGGAGGUGAGAACGGUAAUGUAGGGGAAGAUUACGCUAAACCCUGUAUGUUAUUGUAAGAAUUUUAGCUUUUGCUGGGAGUGAGAUAGGCUACUGAAGGUUUAUGAGCAGAGGAAUCUUAUCAGAUUUAGGUUUUAAAAGUGAAAUGUGUUGGUUGUAGAAACAGCUGACUUUAGAUGGAUAAGGCAGAAAAAGUGAGAUUAAUUGCAAGAUCGUUGCAAUAAUCUAGGAGUUAAAUGGAGGUUGAAUGAAUAAGGGAGAAUGGAAGGGUGAGUGAGAAGGAAUCAGGUUUUAGAUACAUUUAGAAGAAAGAGCUAGAGCCAGCUGACAGCAUUUGCUAAUGGAUUGCAUAUGAAAGAAAGAAGUCAAGGAUAAUCCAAGUUAUUUGGUAUGAACAACGGAGAAACGAAGUUGCCAUUUGUAAAAUAAGUAAGGCUGAGGAAGGAGCAGGUUUGGGGAAAAUGGGAAAUUGAAGUCAAUUCCAGAUCAGUUAUGUUUGAGAAGCCAAUUAGAUACACACAAGGAAAUUCUGAGGAAGGAGUUAGUAUUAUUAAUUUCACUUUAGGAGAGAGAUAUGGGAUUGAGUUUGACGGUGAGUAGUUGUCACUUACAGAUGAUACAUCAAAUCACGUGACAGGAUGAGAUCCUAGAAAGUGAAUGCAAUUACAAAAGGAAUGAGGUCCGAGAAAACCUACUUGGGGCAUUCUAAAGUCAGUGGUCUGAGCGGUCAGAAGGAAUUUACAAAGGAACUGAGAAGAAGAGCCAAUGAGAAAGGGAACUUCUUUUUUUUCACAGUGAGUGCUUGUGAACUUUAAAGGAAUGUGUGAUGAGGAGACUUUUUUUUUAAAUAACUGGAAUUAUAUCUUUCUUUUCUAAUGGUCUAGUAGGAAAAACUGUUUCCUUUAGGGGAGAGGGCAAUUGCUGGAGUAAUAUCCUUAAGUAAUAUCACAAUUUAUUUAUAGUAACAGGAGAGAAUGUCAGGUAUUCAGGUGCAUAGGCAGAUAGAUUGGUACAUGUGGUUGUGGGAGCAUGAGGAACUUCUCUCUUCUUUCUUUUUAAUUCUCACUGACGCAGGAAGUAGACUCCUUGCUGGCAUGACUAUGAAGGCAGAAGAUUAAAGGUUUUUUUCUUUUUUUAAUUUAAAAUUUUUAAUUUUUGUGAGUACAUGGAAGAUUAAAAUUUGAAGAAGACAGCUUAGAAAUCUGGGAAAAUAGACCAUCCUGGCUAACACAGUGAAACCCCUUCUGUACUAAAAAUGCAAACAAUUAGCUGGGUGUGGUGGCGGGCGCCUGUAGUCG
rnacentral:lncRNA from 10 species